AUGUUUGAUCUAGCUCAGGAUGAACGCUAGCGGCAUGCUUCACACAUGCAAGUCGGAUGGGAAGUGGUGUUUCUAGUGGCGAACAGGUGAGUAACGCGUAAGAACCUACCCUUGGGAGGGGAACAACGGCAGGAAACAACUGUGAAUACCCCAUAGGCUGAGGAGAAAAAGGGGGGAUCCGCCCAAGGAGGGGCUCGCGCCUCAUUAGUUAUUUGGUGAGGCAAUAGCUUACCAAGGUGAUGAUCAAUAGCUGGUCUGAGAGGAUGAUCAACCACACUGGGAUUGAGACACAAUCCAUACUCCCUCGAGCAGCGUGGGGAAUUUUCCGCAAUGGGCGAAAGCUGACGGAGCAAUGCCGCGUGAAGCAGAAGGCCCACGGGUCAUGAAUUCUUUUCCUCGGAGAGAAAAAUGCGGUAUCUGAGGAUAGCAUCGGCUACCUUGAGCAGCCGCGGUAGAUAGAGAUCGCAAGCGUUAUCCGGACUGAUUGGGCGGUAAAGCGUCUGUAGUGGCUUUUCAGUUCCGUCGUCAAAUCCCCGGGCUCAACCCUGGACACGCCAAUGGAAAUUACCAAGCUGGAGUAACGGUAGGGGCAGAGGGAAUUUCCAGUGGAGUGGUGAAAUGCGUUGAGAUUGGAAAGAACACCAACGGUGAAAGCACUCUGCUAGGCCAACGCUGACACUGAGAGACAAGAGCUAGGGGAGCAAAUGGAUUAGAUACCCCAGUAGUCCUAGCCGUAAACAAUGGAUACUAAGUGUUGUGCGUAUCAACCCAUGCAGUGUCGUAGCUAACACAUUAAGUAUCCCGCCUGGGGAUUACAUUCACAAGAAUGAAACUCAAAGGAGUUGACAGGGGCCUGCACAAGUGGUGGAGCAUGUGGUUCAAUUCGAUGCAAAGAAAAGAACGUUACCAGGGCUUGACAUGCCAUGAAUCCUCCCGAAAGAGACAAGUGCCUUCGGGAACACAGACAUAGGUGGUGCAUGGCUGUCAUCAACUUGUGUCGUUAGGUGUUGGGUUAAGUC
rnacentral:rRNA from 1 species